GAUGAACGCUGGCGGCGUGCCUAAUACAUGCAAGUCGAGCGAACAGACGAGGAGCUUGCUCCUCUGACGUUAGCGGCGGACGGGUGAGUAACACGUGGAUAACCUACCUAUAAGACUGGGAUAACUUCGGGAAACCGGAGCUAAUACCGGAUAAUAUAUUGAACCGCAUGGUUCAAUAGUGAAAGACGGUUUUGCUGUCACUUAUAGAUGGAUCCGCGCCGCAUUAGCUAGUUGGUAAGGUAACGGCUUACCAAGGCAACGAUGCGUAGCCGACCUGAGAGGGGGAUCGGCCACACUGGAACUGAGACACGGUCCAGACUCCUACGGGAGGCAGCAGUAGGGAAUCUUCCGCAAUGGGCGAAAGCCUGACGGAGCAACGCCGCGUGAGUGAUGAAGGUCUUCGGAUCGUAAAACUCUGUUAUUAAGGAAGAACAAAUGUGUAAGUAACUAUGCACGUCUUGACGGUACCUAAUCAGAAAGCCACGGCUAACUACGUG
rnacentral:rRNA from 1 species